rnacentral:rRNA from 1 species
UACAGAGGGGGCAAGCGUUGUUCGGAAUUACUGGGCGUAAAGGGCGCGUAGGCGGCCUUCUAAGUCGAACGUGAAAUCCCCGGGCUCAACCCGGGAACUGCGUCCGAUACUGGAAGGCUAGAAUCCGGGAGAGGGAUGCGGAAUUCCAGGUGUAGCGGUGAAAUGCGUAGAUAUCUGGAGGAACACCGGUGGCGAAGGCGGCAUCCUGGGCCGGUAUUGACGCUGAGGCGCGAAAGCCAGGGGAGCAAACGGG